GACCCCUGAAAGACUAUCAGGUUGAUAGGUUGGAGGUGUAAGUACAGUAAUGUAUUCAGCUGACCAAUACUAAUAGGUCGAGGGCUUGAUCAAAUAUUUAUUAU
rnacentral:rRNA from 1 species